rnacentral:rRNA from 1 species
CCUACGGGAGGCAGCAGUGGGGGAUAUUGCACAAUGGUCGAAAGCCUGAUGCAGCGACGCCGCGUGAGGGAAGACGGUCUUCGGAUUGUAAAACUCUGUCUUUGGGGAAGAAAAUGCCGGUACCCAAAGAGGAAGCUCCGUCUAACUACGUGCCAGCAGCCGCGGUAAUACGUCGGGAGCCAGCGUUGUCCGGAAUUAUGGGGUGUAAAGGGAGCGUAGGCGGGAUGGGAAGUAGACUGUUAAAUCCAGCGGCUCAACCGGUGGCUGCGUUUGAAACUGCCGUUCUUGAGUGAAGUAGAGGCAGGCGGAAUGCGUGGUGUAGCGGUGAAAUGCGUAGAUAUUAGGAGGAACACCAGUGGCGAAGGCGGCCUGCUGGGUUUACACUGACGCUGAGGCUCGAACGCGUGGGUAGCAAACAGGAUUAGAUACCCUAGUAGUC